rnacentral:rRNA from 1 species
GUAGAUAUACGGGGGAACACCAGUGGCGAAAGCGGCCUCCUAGACCGAUCCUGACGCUCAGACGCGAAAGCUAGGGUAGCAAACGGGAUUAGAGACCCCGGUAGUCCUAGCUGUAAACGAUGUGAACUUGGCGUCGGUGGGUCUAAAUCCAUCGGUGCCGAAGCUAACGCGAUAAGUUCACCACCUGGGGACUACGGCCGCAAGGUUAAAACUCAAAGGAAUUGACGGGGGGCCCGCACAAGCAGCGGAGCGUGUGGUUUAAUUCGAUGUUACACGAAGAACCUUACCAGGGUUUGACAUACAAGUAGUAGUGAAUCGAAAGAGGAACGACCCUUCGGGGAGCUUGAACAGGUGUUGCAUGGCUGUCGUCAGCUCGUGUCGUGAGAUGUUCGGUCCCCCCCCCCUAACGAGCGCAACCCUCACUGUGUGUUAUACGUGUCACACGGGACUGCCGGUGUCAAGCCGGAGGAAGGUUUGGAUAACGUCAAGUCAGCAUUGCCUUUAUAUCCUGGUCUACACACACUCUACAAUAGCCGGUACAAUUUGUACCUAAGCCUCGAGUCAGAGCCAAUCCUCCAAGCCCUUCUCAAUCAGAUCGUAGAAUUCAACUCCCAUGCGGGAAGUCCCAAUUUCCUCUACUCGCGUUCAGCUACAAGCCAUCGAACCAUUC